GGCAACAGCUCAAAUUUGAAAUCUGGCCCCCUCGGGGCCCGAGUUGUAAUUUGGAGAAGAUGCUUCGGGAGUGGCCCCCAUCUAAGUGCCCUGGAACGGGCCGUCAUAGAGGGUGAGAAUCCCGUCUGGGAUGGGGUGUCCACGCCCGUGUGAAGCUCCUUCGAC
rnacentral:rRNA from 1 species